UGGAGGGUGGCCAGGGUAGUGACCCUGGGGUGGUGAAGGUUCUUUUGUCGGUGGUGGCCUCACUAUUAUUGGCGGUAGAGUUGGUGGCUUGGGCGUUGGCGGUGGUCUCACUACUCUUGGGGGUAGAGUUGGUGUCUUGUGUUUUGGUGGUGGAGGUGGCUUAACAGGAGUUGGUGGCUUGUAUUCUGGGGGUGGUUUCUCCACCGGAGGUGGCUUAUAAACUGGAGUUGGUGGCUUGUAUUCUGGGGGUGGCUUCUCCACUGGUGGUGGCCUGUAAACAGGGGUUGGUGGCUUAUAUUCUGGGGGAGGCUUCUCCACUGGAGGCGACUUAUAAACAGGGGUUGGUGGCUUGUAUUCCGGGGGUGGCUUCUCUACGGGAGGUGGCCUGUAAACAGGGGUUGGUGGCUUCUCCACCGGAGGUGGCUUAUAAACGGGGGUUGGUGGCUUGUAUUCUGGGGGUGGUUUCCCCAGUGGUGGAGACUUGUAAACAGGAAGAGGUGGUUUGUGCUCAUAUGGGGGUGGCUUGUGGUCAUUAGCAAGUGAGGGAGUGGU
rnacentral:lncRNA from 1 species